UAAGGAAUAUUGGUCAAUGGACGAAAGUCUGAACCAGCCAUGCCGCGUGGAGGAUGAAGGCCCUCUGGGUUGUAAACUUCUUUUAUAGGGGACGAAAAAGGGUCUUUCUAGAUCAACUGACGGUACCCUAGGAAUAAGCACCGGCUAACUCCGUGCCAGCAGCCGCGGUAAUACGGAGGGUGCAAGCCUUAUCCGGAUUCACUGGGUUUAAAGGGUGCGUAGGUGGGUAGUAAGUCAGUGGUGAAAUCUUCGAGCUUAACUCGGAAACUGCCAUUGAUACUAUUAGUCUUGAAUAUUGUAGAGGUUAGCGGAAUAUGUCAUGUAGCGGUGAAAUGCUUAGAUAUGACAUAGAACACCAAUUGCGAAGGCAGCUGGCUACACAUAUAUUGACACUGAGGCACGAAAGCGUGGGGAUCAAACA
rnacentral:rRNA from 1 species